GCAGUGGCUCAGUUGCAGAGCAUCUGCUUUGCAUACAGAAGGUCCCAGGUUCAAUCCCCACCAUCUCCA